rnacentral:rRNA from 1 species
UACGGAGGGGGCAAGCGUUGUUCGGAAUUACUGGGCGUAAAGCGUGCGCAGGCGGUUUCUUAAGUCAGAUGUGAAAGCCCCGGGCUUAACCUGGGAACUGCGUUUGAAACUGGGAGACUUGAGUGUGGCAGAGGGGGGUGGAAUUCCACGUGUAGCAGUGAAAUGCGUAGAUAUGUGGAGGAACACCGAUGGCGAAGGCAGCCCCCUGGGUUAACACUGACGCUCAUGCACGAAAGCGUGGGGAGCAAACAGG